GGGUUGUGAGGUUAAGCGACUAAGCGUACACGGUGGAUGCCCUGGCAGUCAGAGGCGAUGAAGGGCGUGCUAAUCUGCGAUAAGCGCCGGUAAGGUGAUAUGAACCGUUAUAACCGGCGAUACCCGAAUGGGGAAACCCAGUGUGAUUCGUCACACUAUCAUUAACUGAAUCCAUAGGUUAAUGAGGCGAACCGGGGGAACUGAAACAUCUAAGUACCCCGAGGAAAAGAAAUCAACCGAGAUUCCCCCAGUAGCGGCGAGCGAACGGGGAGGAGCCCAGAGCCUGAAUCAGCAUAUGUGUUAGUGGAAGCGUCUGGAAAGGCGCGCGAUACAGGGUGACAGCCCCGUACACAAAAGCGCAUGUGCUGUGAGCUCGAUGAGUAGGGCGGGACACGUGGUAUCCUGUCUGAAUAUGGGGGGACCAUCCUCCAAGGCUAAAUACUCCUGACUGACCGAUAGUGAACCAGUACCGUGAGGGAAAGGCGAAAAGAACCCCGGCGAGGGGAGUGAAAAAGAACCUGAAACCGUGUACGUACAAGCAGUGGGAGCACCCUUUGGGGUGUGACUGCGUACCUUUUGUAUAAUGGGUCAGCGACUUAUAUUCUGUAGCAAGGUUAACCGCAUAGGGGAGCCGGAGGGAAACCGAGUCUUAAUUGGGCGUUAAGUUGCAGGGUAUAGACCCGAAACCCGGUGAUCUAGCCAUGGGCAGGUUGAAGGUUGGGUAACACUAACUGGAGGACCGAACCGACUAAUGUUGAAAAAUUAGCGGAUGACCUGUGGCUGGGGGUGAAAGGCCAAUCAAACCGGGAGAUAGCUGGUUCUCCCCGAAAGCUAUUUAGGUAGCGCCUCGUGAAUUCAUCUCCGGGGGUAGAGCACUGUUUCGGCUAGGGGGCCAUCCCGGCUUACCAACCCGAUGCAAACUGCGAAUACCGGAGAAUGUUAUCACGGGAGACACACGGCGGGUGCUAACGUCCGUCGUGAAGAGGGAAACAACCCAGACCGCCAGCUAAGGUCCCAAAGUCAUGGUUAAGUGGGAAACGAUGUGGGAAGGCCCAGACAGCCAGGAUGUUGGCUUAGAAGCAGCCAUCAUUUAAAGAAAGCGUAAUAGCUCACUGGUCGAGUCGGCCUGCGCGGAAGAUGUAACGGGGCUAAACCAUGCACCGAAGCUGCGGCAGCGACACUGUGUGUUGUUGGGUAGGGGAGCGUUCUGUAAGCCUGCGAAGGUGGCCUGUGAGGGUUGCUGGAGGUAUCAGAAGUGCGAAUGCUGACAUAAGUAACGAUAAAGCGGGUGAAAAGCCCGCUCGCCGGAAGACCAAGGGUUCCUGUCCAACGUUAAUCGGGGCAGGGUGAGUCGACCCCUAAGGCGAGGCCGAAAGGCGUAGUCGAUGGGAAACGGGUUAAUAUUCCCGUACUUGGUGUUACUGCGAAGGGGGGACGGAGAAGGCUAUGUUGGCCGGGCGACGGUUGUCCCGGUUUAAGCGUGUAGGCUGGUUUUCCAGGCAAAUCCGGAAAAUCAAGGCUGAGGCGUGACGACGAGGCACUACGGUGCUGAAGCAACAAAUGCCCUGCUUCCAGGAAAAGCCUCUAAGCAUCAGGUAACAUCAAAUCGUACCCCAAACCGACACAGGUGGUCAGGUAGAGAAUACCAAGGCGCUUGAGAGAACUCGGGUGAAGGAACUAGGCAAAAUGGUGCCGUAACUUCGGGAGAAGGCACGCUGACAUGUAGGUGAAGUGAUUUACUCAUGGAGCUGAAGUCAGUCGAAGAUACCAGCUGGCUGCAACUGUUUAUUAAAAACACAGCACUGUGCAAACACGAAAGUGGACGUAUACGGUGUGACGCCUGCCCGGUGCCGGAAGGUUAAUUGAUGGGGUCAGCGCAAGCGAAGCUCCUGAUCGAAGCCCCGGUAAACGGCGGCCGUAACUAUAACGGUCCUAAGGUAGCGAAAUUCCUUGUCGGGUAAGUUCCGACCUGCACGAAUGGCGUAAUGAUGGCCAGGCUGUCUCCACCCGAGACUCAGUGAAAUUGAACUCGCUGUGAAGAUGCAGUGUACCCGCGGCAAGACGGAAAGACCCCGUGAACCUUUACUAUAGCUUGACACUGAACAUUGAGCCUUGAUGUGUAGGAUAGGUGGGAGGCUUUGAAGUGUGGACGCCAGUCUGCAUGGAGCCGACCUUGAAAUACCACCCUUUAAUGUUUGAUGUUCUAACGUGGACCCGUGAUCCGGGUUGCGGACAGUGUCUGGUGGGUAGUUUGACUGGGGCGGUCUCCUCCUAAAGAGUAACGGAGGAGCACGAAGGUUGGCUAAUCCUGGUCGGACAUCAGGAGGUUAGUGCAAUGGCAUAAGCCAGCUUGACUGCGAGCGUGACGGCGCGAGCAGGUGCGAAAGCAGGUCAUAGUGAUCCGGUGGUUCUGAAUGGAAGGGCCAUCGCUCAACGGAUAAAAGGUACUCCGGGGAUAACAGGCUGAUACCGCCCAAGAGUUCAUAUCGACGGCGGUGUUUGGCACCUCGAUGUCGGCUCAUCACAUCCUGGGGCUGAAGUAGGUCCCAAGGGUAUGGCUGUUCGCCAUUUAAAGUGGUACGCGAGCUGGGUUUAGAACGUCGUGAGACAGUUCGGUCCCUAUCUGCCGUGGGCGCUGGAGAACUGAGGGGGGCUGCUCCUAGUACGAGAGGACCGGAGUGGACGCAUCACUGGUGUUCGGGUUGUCAUGCCAAUGGCACUGCCCGGUAGCUAAAUGCGGAAGAGAUAAGUGCUGAAAGCAUCUAAGCACGAAACUUGCCCCGAGAUGAGUUCUCCCUGAGACUUAGAGUCUCCUGAAGGAACGUUGAAGACGACGACGUUGAUAGGCCGGGUGUGUAAGCGCAGCGAUGCGUUGAGCUAACCGGUACUAAUGAACCGUGAGGCUUAACCUUACAACGCCGAAG
rnacentral:rRNA from 1 species